UGAAACUGAUUUGCAUACCAAGCUGCCAAGGAAGCUGCCCAAAAACCAGUGGGGCCUUUACAAGAGGAGGAAUUGACAGAACAGAAGCAAGCUACCAG